ACCCACUCUGCCCUAGAGACAUAGGAGAGAGAGAGAGAGAGGACAGCGAAGGAGCACUUUUGGUGUGUCAAGUGCUCUUCCAACGUCGAAAGCACAGACUCUGAACCCUGCUUUGUUCUUCUUCUUCGUCUUCUCAAAUCUCUCUUAAUUUUUUUCAUUCAUCUGUGAAGAAGAAGAGAGCAGCUUAGAAGGUGAUUAAGUGCUUUUCCUAUAUAUAUAUAUAUAUACGUGUGUAUACUGAUUUGAUUUUUUGUUUAUCGUUCCAGUGCAAGUACUAACUCAUAAUUUGCAGCAAAAUUUGGAAGGAGCAAAAGCUUAGCUUGAAUUAGGUAAAUUCCUCUUGGUAUUUAUGUUACAAUCUCUUUGAAUUUAUAAAAUUUGAGCUUAAAAUUCUUCAAUUUAGCUUUAAGAAAAAAAAGGAUUCUAGGGUAAUUCAUAUUUUUCACAAGAGAAAUUGAUAUUUCCCAUGAUUUAUUCUCGAGAAAGUUGAAACAUUUUUCUGUCUCUUUAGUUGGUUAUCAAAUGACCGUACGUACGUUAUGUUGUAGUACUAUUAUUGAUCAAAUAUGCCCUAUCCUUCAGGAUUUUUCUUGUCUGAUCUAACUAACUAGAAUUUGUUGAAAGUUUUGUUGAAUUAAGACCUUAAGGUAUUAAAAAAGGUUCUAACUUGGCUUUAAGGCUAUGUGAUUGCGACGAUUCUGUGAUGUGAUUGAGACAAUUCUUUGAUGGUUGGUGAAAUAAAUAAAUCCAUUUAUUUCAACCUAUUAAUUUAUCCAGAACUAACCUUAGAGUUUACUAUAUUUGCAUUUUGUAAGGCGGUUAUAUAAACUUAGGGUUGAUAUCAAAAAGCAAUUAUAGGUUUUAUUGCAAAUAAGAUACUAUUAAGAUAAAGGAUUCAACAAUUUAUUCUUGCUCUUAUGACACGAUAUCCAAACAAAACCAAAUACUUGAAAAUUUAUAUGAAAUUUUGAACUAAAUUGCUUUUAGGCUGGGUGAUGAUCUUAGGGACCCCAAACUUGAGGAACUCAUUUAGCAAAAAAAAAAAACUUGGAGGAAUUCUUAAAUUUAAUGGCCAAGUUUGAGGUCCAAAAUUCUAUUGCAUUUAUACCUUCAUCUUAUUGGAGGCUAGAGAAAAGAAAACGCAUACUUGUAGGAGAUUAAAUCAUCUGGUUGUGUCUGACUUGACAAGGUGAACUUCUUGGGGAAGCAGAUUGUAUCUGAUAUUUAGUUCAUCAAAUAAUUUCUUUAUCUCUAUGACCAGUUCUGAUCUUCUCCUGCUCUUCUCUCCAAAGUCUUGAAAGUUCAUUGUAUGACAGAAAUAGACACCCAUCUUGAUCUGGUUUACAUUCUCAAUCUCCUUCACCAACAUACUAUGGUUAGGAUGCCAGUAUUGGGGAGUUCGCUCAAAAUACCUGACCAUGCAAAAGAACAAAAAAAUUGAGAAAAACUGAAACAACGGAGAAUAUUUCGAGUUAGGGGACAAGUCACAAACUGUUGGAUCCAGAAACUCGAAUAAAAUCUCAAAAAUAUUUCUUAUCAAUGCCUGCUAAGGUCCACUAUAGUUUAGAAAAACUAUUUUACUUUAGACUAGAAAUUUAAACAUAUUAAUCGUGCUGGUGACAUCUUACAUUUUUCACUUCUCUACUAGGAAGAGAUGGUGAAUAAGCAAUUGCAGGUGCUAGUUCUAAACUGUAAAUUCAAUACAAGAAUUAAGAAUACCACAACUAAAUGUCAUAAAAUCCAAGGCAAUGAUAUAAUGGAAGGUUUUUAUAAAUAAUGGAACUUCUUAGCAGAAUACAAAGCAGUAUGAUAAUAUGCUCAAACUUGAGGUAACUCUAUGUAAGUAACAACAUGUUUGCUUGCCUAACAGGCUAACACAUUGAAAUGGGCAAGAAUUAAACUUCCAGCACAAAGUCAGAAUUAGUCGCAGGCUUAUAAGUUGUUAUUUGUACAAAAACUAACUUCAUUUUUUUUCACUCUUUCAGUAAUAACUUUAUUCCUACUAAUACUCAUCCUUCUCCAACUAUACAAAAAAUCCUCAACAUUAAUGGGCAUAAUCCAAUCAAUCCCAAAUAAAACAACAAGAGUGGACCAAAUACCCCUUUAAAAAGAAUGAGGUCUCCCUUCAGAAAUUAGUAAGAGAGAAUAAAAUUUAUUUGCGGAAUGUCUGACAAAGAAGCAUGAUGGAAUUUACUACGUCAUAAAUGUUGUAGUGUCACAAGUUAAGUUUCUUUAAAUUAAAUAGAGCUACUUACUUUUUAAUUUUAUCUUCUAGAGCCUCAAUCUUCUGCACUGGUGUCAUGAAAUCAAUGGAGAACUCCACUGAAUCUCCCAUAUCCGGGCUUCUAUAGAAAUUGCUGAUGGCCUUAGUAGCCAAAACUGAAUUUGGAUAGUAUAUCUUUUCAUUAUCAUAUCUCAAGAAUGUUGUUGUUAAAAUAUUCAUCUCUUCAACUAUCAUCUGUCAAAUUGCAUACAGAUAAAACAGUUAAUCAAUUACUCCAAUAAAACAAAAAAAAAUGGCAUCUGGUGGUAGUUACCUGGACACCAUCAAUGACACAACGGUCACCAACAUCAAAUGGAUGCAUCACAAAUACAAAUAUGAUAGCUUCAAAUAUAUUCUUGCAAGUGUUUCCAAACAG
rnacentral:lncRNA from 1 species